AUACAUAGGUAUGCAAAAAACCACACAUAUGAAGUAAAAAUAAGAUGAAAAUUUAUCAACACAGAGAAAAAGUACAUCACCACAUUCUUUAUCUCAGAGCAUCCUGUGUUUUUCUGCAUCUUGGUGGGGAUAUACGUAAAGAUGGUAUAGGCUACUAAAAGCUACCCCUCUUCUCCAUGGCAUCCCAGGGGAUCUCUUCUUACAUUAGUGUAUCUGGGAAGUAAACAUGUGGAUACAAUGCAAUGUGUUUGUAUGGGUGCAUCCUUGUACCUGUGUGUGUUCAGGAGUAUGUGUGUGCAUGCACAUUCAUGCAUGUGUGGGUAUAUGGUACACAACUGUGCCCUAAGAACACAAUCUUUUAAUGAACAUGAACAUCAAAGACUGGAGGAAAAUCUUCAGUUCCUGCUGAAGCAGACAGAACUGGUUACCCAGCAAAAAUACUAGACAAGAAAGAUAUAGCAUCACUUCACUGAGUCCCAGAUAAGCAUUCCUUUGUCAGAAGACACUACAAGAGUGAAGAUUGGACACAGAGGGACUUGAAGAUGAGUGGGAUUGGAGUGCAUGGUGUGAUGUUACGAAAGAAUCACUAAAAAUAGAAAAUGUGUAGGCUAAAAAUCAAAUUUCACUUUUUUCCAUUUUUUAAUAUGAACUAAGCAAUAAGAAGUUGUCACACAAACAGACAAAUAAGGUUCUAGGCUUUUAAAAAUUAUGAAUAUAUUGAACAAUUCAGUGUAAUUUUGACAUAGGGACAAAAUUACUGUACAACAAGGCUUCAAGAUUUUGUGUUUCAAACAGAAAAUUCCAUUGAACUCUUGAUAUAUCCACAGAACAAGAUUUGUUGAUGUUGAUGGAAAACAUUUAAAAUUCAAAUGAAACUUAGUUCUUUUAUUGUAAGAGAGAGAGAGAAGAAACAUGAACACUGCUGCCAAUCAAUUUGCCUUUACAGAGAUUAACAGAAUAUUUCAUCAGAUGACAGCUUAUGACAGCAGGUCCAAUACACACAGGACACUGUCAACAUGCUCAAUAUUACUGGUUGUUAAACAGGUUAAAUAAACAUACAAGACCUGAUAUAAAGCAAUGUGUGCAAUCCAACUACAGGGAAAUUAAAAUGUAAGUUAAAAACAGAGGAGUAUCUCUAUGACUCUAGUACAUGAAAAUUCAAGUUUUUAAUUCUUAAAGUAAUCAAUAGGUUAAAAGGGAAAGUAAAAAUAUUUUGAAUCAAAUUGAAAGUAAAAUAUCAAAAUUUCUGGAAUAAAGCUAAACAAGCACUACUAAACAAUAAAACAUUACAUGAUUUCAUGUGAAACUGAAUCCAUGUGGAUUUUAGUUUUUAUAUUGUAAAAUAAGACCUUACUCUGUAGCAGGGCCCAAGCUACCUACAACUCCCUAUGUAGCCUACGUUGUUCUCAAACUAUUGGAAUCCUAAUUACCAAGGGCAUAGAUUACAGGCAUGAAAUAUUUAUCACCUGACUUAAGUAGAUUUGUAAUAUGGGAUAUAAAUCUUUGCAUCAAAAUUAAAAAGAAAGUGAAAAAGAAGACACUAAUCAAUUUUGAAAAAUUCAAUCAAUUGAAAAUAAAUAUGACAAGAUGUAACAGAAUAUGUAUAUAUACACAUACAUAUGUAUGUGCAUGUGUGUAUACAUUUAAAAUUAAUAUGACAAGAGUGAGAGAAUAUAUAUAUAUGUGUGUGUGUGUAUGUGUGUGUGUGUGUGUGUAUGUGUCACUGAUAAAUCUCUAGGCACACUAGCCAAGAAAAAGGAAAGAAUAUUAAAUUUACUCACAUAGGGAAUGAGAAAUAGGAUACUGCUGAUCCCACAGGUACUAAGAUGAAAUAAAGAAGCAUGGACCACAUUAAACUCAGAAAUAUAAAAUUUGGAUUAAAGCCCACAAUAAUACUUUCAGAACUGCAUUCUGCUAUCCUGAACUUCAGAGUGGGCAUUUCAGCCUCAUGAGUACUUGGGCUGUGAGGAGUCACCAGGCUCUGAGAAGACUUCCCUGGCCCUCACUAGAGACAUGCUGGACUAGGAGACUGCAGCCAAGAAGGAUGUUUUGCCUUCACCUCAACUGCACAAGAACUGGGAAGCACAGAUUCUGAGGAGAUGUCAGUCUCCAAACUGAGGGCUCACUCCUCAGAGACCCUGGACCCUGCCAUCCUGGCCUAGGGUUGCUUUCACCAUGCUGUACCCCAAAGACCUCUUCUUCAAUGUCUGGGCAGUGUAUCAUCAGUUCUUUAAUGGCCUCUAGGCUGAGCAUGCUCAAUUGUCCAGACAGGGAGCACAAGUUAGGAGAGGGAGGUUAACAGUCUGGAUGCUCAUUGGUUCAGAGUGCCUCAGGGGUAGGCUUAACCCAACAUGCCAUUUAUCAUUGAAUGUGUUGGUUGUGACUCUAUUUGAAGGCCAGUACUUUCUGGUGAUAUGUGUUGGCUUUGAUGGGAAGGGCCAGGAUUGUCUCAAGGAUGACAACAUUGUGGAUUAUCUGAACACUGGUGGUCUACACAUUGCACAUUUCCAGCUCAGCACAGGACAAUGGGAUCUUCCUGGUUUUGUCAUGAAUCAGAGAAGGAAAGUCAUGUGUCCAGAGCUGCACACCUACCAUGCCACAGUUCUUGUUCUGUUUCACAUUGCCUCAUCUCAUAUUUUCUUAACUGGCCUAGCCACAUCUCACCUAGAGAAGAAAACCUGUUUGGCCCUGCCUGUUAGGUAAUCAGAUCAUGCUGCUUUAUUGCAAAGAUGAAAAAAAUUAUACUGACAAGCUGAUAGUCACUUUCUCAAAAUCAUACAGCUGCAUGGAUAUGACAGGGACUCCUCAUAAAUCAAGUCCACAAAUAGAUACAAUAGUUUGUUUCUACUCUGCAGAAAUAGCAAAGAACUAUUUCUUUUAGUCAUAGUGGGAAGCUGGACCUAGUGAUGUUGGUUUUCUAUUAGGCUAUUAUCUUGGAAUUCCUGUGAUUCAUCCUGGACAGGGUGCUUAUGUCAGACAAGUAUACCCUUUCCUUUCAUUCUCCUGUCCAAGCAAUUUAGGAAACAUUAGGCAUGUAAAAGGAUAAUAUUGAACCCACAACAAUUUGACAGAAAAUCAUGAAUUAAUGAAACUGACAACUGCAUUAUAAAACUGUUGCUUUACUAAUAUAAAA